GAAAAGUUCAAUAAAUCAAUUUUACACUUAUCUCCAUAGCUGAGCUCUGAAUUCAAAAAUGGAAAACAAAAGCCUCUUGGUCUCUCUGUAGCUCUUCUGUUUCCUUUUUUUCCUGCAUCAUUUUCCUCAUCGGAACCCUAAAUCGCCAUUGAUCUCCGGUGAUUUUCUUGUCCGCUUCUUUUCGCCUUCCGAAAUCAAAAUUUCCACAUUGUUUGGUAUUUGAUUUGACUGAAAAUGGUGGCUCAGUCCUUGCACUCUGUUGAUAACGGGAAGCUUGGUUCCCGAGUUAAUAGAGAAAAGAAGAGUCCCAAAGGGAACGUAGAGGUGGUGGUUUCUUCUCAAAGGAGAGUAAGUGCGAGGAUUCAGGCGACGAAGCAGAGAGCAGAGAAGAAGGAAUUGGUGAGGAAAAGAGUAGAAUUGUUGGAUGAUAAUGAGGGAGGAAGUAAGAAGAGGAACAUUAGAAGAAUGGUAAAUGUGGAGAAUGCGAGCGAAGAGGUUGUUGUGGAUAAGAAGGUGAGUGAUGUUUUUGGGUCUAGUGAAUUGGUAAAGUCUGCGGGAGAAGUACUGAAAGCUAAUAUUGGUGGGCAAAAUGGGGUUGUGGGUAAUGAGGGUGUUGGAGGUGGUACCACAGAGAAAAGCGUAUUUGCUAGGGUUAAGGAAACUCUGAGGUUAUUUAACAAGCAUUAUCUGCAUUUUGUCCAGGAAGAGGAGAAGAGGUGCCAAAAAGAAGUUGAUAAAAAGGUUUCCAAAAGUUCAAAAUCAAAGAAAGGAAUUGCAAUUGAAGCUGAUGCUAAGAAAAAGGCCAAGCGUCCUGAUUUAAAGGCAGUAUCUAAGAUGAUCGAGACUAAUGCUGUAAUGUACCCGGGGAAAAGAAUUGGUGACCUUUCAGGUAUCAAUGUUGGACAUCAAUUUUAUUCAAGGGCUGAAAUGGUUGCUGUUGGUUUCCAUAGCCAUUGGCUGAAUGGGAUUGAUUACAUGGGCAUGUCCUACAGCAAGGUUGUAAUCUUUUUAUUAUGUCUAUAAUCAUUGAUAUUGUGAUCAUUAUCAUUAUUUUAUUAGGAUAUCUUAAAAAUGAAUAUAUUGGCAAGUCUUAUGGUGUUACUUUGACAUGUGACAUUGUAAUUUGGUGAUUUGCAAAAUUCCUCUUGAUGUUUGGUAAAAUGCAUUUGUUAGUCCCUUAUUUUCUAAAACCUCAGGAUGGCUUCUUGAAGUAUAAUUUUAUUAACAAUAUACUUCCCAUUUGAGAAGCACUUAUUUAACUGUUAAACGGAUGAAACUAGUCUCUAAAAAUUUAAUUGGAAUGAAAGAAAUUCAGAAUUUCAACUAAGCCACCAUAAAUUCAGAAUUUCAUACAAAAUAGUCAUAUACUUUCUUUGUUAGGGUAAAAUCAAAUGCGCUGAAACUUAGGAAUUAGCAACAUCCAACAUAACAUAAAGAGCCACUGUGGGAGGGACUGAAUUGGUUCAAUUCCUGUCACUAACAAAAGGAAAAGGAAGUUGGGCAUGAUGGUGAGCCACUAGAUUUCCUUCUAUUUGCACAAAUUAGAAAUGCAUUGAAUACAGCUGAGUACUAAGAAUGCAAAUGUCCUCCAACACUAAAAAUCGUGUCCAUGAGUAUGUAUAUAAAAGAGUUUACACCCAUCAACCAUCUCAUUAUCCACAAAUCAGUGUAUAUUCAACCUUCUAAUCACAUUUUUAGCCCAUUUUGUCGUCACGGAUAAGCAUAAAAAAUUCUUCAAUCAAUCUAGCAAAAACUUGAUUCUGAUAGAGUUAGGAAUCCCAACAGUAAAAAAAAAAAUUAUAAAUAACCAGCAAUAUGAAUCAAACAGAGAGAGAUGGGAUGGAAUGAAUCAUGCUGCAAUUUUUUAUAGAAUAGAAUAAGGAGACAAGAGACUAAUACAAGGCAACAACAUUUUGAUAUAAGGAAACAGUCGAAGAGAAACUUCCCUACGGGGCUAGAUGCUCUGCCCCAAGCUACUCAGCUAGAGAAUAAAAAUGUUUUUCCCAUGUCCCUUUUCAUUCCCUCGAAUACUUAUUUAUACUAUUUCUUGUAUUGCAGCUUCACAACAACCAGCUUUUUACGCUUCACCUUUAAUUAGUUGCAUAACAGAAUUCUGACCCCUUUCCUUUUCUGCCCCUCCUGGAAUUUUCUUGUACCUCCUGGAAUGCACGCGCCAGCCUUGAGGUUUUGGUUCCUUUCCUCUUUCUGCUUCCCCAUUUGUUAUCAUGUGCCUAUCAUUGCCACCCUAAGAAAGAGCAGUCUUGUCCUCAAGACUGAAAGUGGGGAAUUGGCCACUUAUGUUACUAGAAUCCAUCCAAGUUGCUUCAUCAAUAGAUUUCCCUUGCCACUGAAUGAGGACCUGAGAAACAUGCUUUCCAUUUCGCCAAAUAUUGUGUCGGUCAAUCACAGCUUGAGGAAAAACCAUUGCAGAAUCAUCGACAACUAAUUCAGGAGGCAAGGUAGCCAUGACAGGAUGGUCACCAACUUUUUUCUUCAACUGAGAGACAUGAAAUACAGGGUGGAUUUUGGAAGUGCAGGGAAGAACAAGGCGAUAAGCAGCAGGACCUAUUUUAGCUGCAAUGAAAAAGGGCCCAUAAUAUCUUGCAGCCAGCUUUUGAUUAGUACGAGAAGCUACUGAUAGUUGCCGAUAAGCUUGUAAUUGGAGAAAAACUUUAUCACGCACUUGGAAUUCGAUAUGCCUAUGGUGUUUAUUAUGUUGAAGGACCAUUUGUUGCUGAGCUUGUUGGAGAUUACUUUGGAGUUGGGAUAACAUGGCAUCUUGAUCUUGCAUGGCUUGAGCAAUAGCCUCAACACGAAUUUCCCCUAGUAAAAAUUUCAAAAGAGAGGGAGGGGUCUGCCAUAGACAAUUUCAAAAGGAGAAUGUUAGGUAGCACCAUGAUAACUGGGAUUAUACCAGUAUUCAGCCCACGGAAUCCAUUGAUACCAAGUUUGUGGUUGUUCAGAAGCAAAACAUUGUAAAUACUGCUCCAAACUUCUAUUGACGACUUCGGUUUGACCAUCUGUUUGAGGAUGGUAGGCAGAACUUAAUUUUAACUGAGUGCCCAUGCUUCGGAAGAUCUCAGUCCAGAAAUUACUGAUAAAAAUUGGAUCUCUAUCGCUGAGAAUAGAAGUAGGAAUACCAUGAAGGCGAACAAUCUCCCGUAUGAAUUAAUCAGGCACUCCACGAGCUGUGUAAGGGUGUUUAAGCAACAAAAAAUGGGCAUAUUUGGAUAAGCGGUCCACCACAAGAAUGGAAUCUAUGCCUUGAUACUUAGGAAGCCCAAUGAUAAAAUCAAGAGAAAUGCCCUCCCACACAUUUUUUGAAAUCGGUAGUGGUUGUAGAAAGCCAACAGGGGCAAGAGAUUCAUACUUAUUUUUUUGGCAUACCAAGCAAGAAGCCACAAAAUGCUAGAUGGAUUUCAUCAUACCCUGCCAAUAAAGGCUGGAAGCCAAGCGACGGUAAGUGAGUAGAGCACUAGAAUGACUGCCCGUUGGAGUGGAUUGAAAUUCAGAAAUCAAGCGAGAGACCCAAGGAGAUGAUGCCAGCAAUACCAGGUGGCCCUUGUAAAAUAAAUGGCCUUGAAUGAGAGUAAAUGGUUGAUGAGAACUCGAAUCAGAAGUAAGAUUCGAGAUAAUUGCUCGAAGAGAAGGGUCAUUAUGGACAGCAUCCUUAAUUUCAUCCAAAUCCAGCCAUUAAGGAUGACUAAGUGCAUGUAAUUGGAGUUUCUCUUCAUGAUGGCAUUGGGACAGUGCGUCUGCAGCGUGAUUGUUGCGCCUAGGUUUGUAGUGAAUAACAAAAGAAUAUCACAAUAACUUGGAAAUCCAAACUUGUUGGGCUGGAGUGACAAUUCGUUGUUCCAACAAAUGCUUGAGGCUACGUUGAUCCGUGUGGACAACAAAUUGACAUCCUAGGAGAUAUGGGUGCCAAUGAUGUAUUGCCAUAACCAAGGCCAUUAAUUCCUUCUCAUAAGUGGAAUUUGAGAGUCUUCGAGGAAAGGGCCUUGCUAAACUAAGCAAUUGGUUUGCUUUCUUGCAUCAAGACAGCACCCACUCCUUUGCCAGAUGCAUCACACUCAAUUACAAAGGGCAACUGGAAAUUUGGCAUAGAUAAGACAGGAGCAGAGACAAUUGCUUGUUUCAUUUGUUCACAAGCAGAAUGUGCGGAAGACGUUCACUGAAAUUGGAUGUGGGCAUCUUUAGUGGUAAGAGCUAUUAGAGGUUGAGCAAUAAGGCCAUAAUGAUUGAUGAAACGACAAUAACAGCCCGUUAAUCCGAGGAACCCCCGAACACCUUUAACUUACUUAGGAAUAGGCCACUGCAACACAGCGAAAAUCUUCGAAGGAUCCAUGGCAACACCCUUUUGAGAGAUAAUGUGCCCCAAAUAAUCAAUUGAGGAAUGCCCAAAUGAACACUUUGUUUUCAUUGGCAGUAAAAUGAUGUUGUUGUAGUGUUGUUAAAAUCAGCUCCAAAUGUUGAAGAUGCUCGUGCCAAGUUUUACUAUACCAAAAUAUCAUCAAAAAACACCAAGACAAAGUGGCAGAGAUAGGGUCUGAAAAUAUCGUUCAUUGUAGCCUGAAAGGUAGCAGGCGCAUUGGUUAAGUAGAACGGCAUUACCAAAAACUCGUAAUGGCCUGAAUGUGUGCGGAACGCUGUUUUUGGAAUAUCGGCCUCAAUGACCCGAAUUUUUUCUUAUGUCCCUUUUCAUUCCCUCAAAUACUUAUUUGUACUAUUUCUUGUAUUGCAGCUUCACAACAACCAGCUUUUUACGCUUCACCUUUAAUUAGUUGCAUAACAGAAUUCUGACCCCUUUCCUUUUCUGCCCCUCCUGGAAUUUUCUUGUACCUCCUGGAAUGCACGCGCCAGCCUUGAGGUUUUGGUUCCUUUCCUCUUUCUGCUUCCCCAUUUGUUAUCAUGUGCCUAUCAUUGCCACCCUAAGAAAGAGCAGUCUUGUCCUCAAGACUGAAAGUGGGGAAUUGGCCACUUAUGUUACUAGAAUCCAUCCAAGUUGCUUCAUCAAUAGAUUUCCCUUGCCACUGAAUGAGGACCUGAGAAACAUGCUUUCCAUUUCGCCAAAUAUUGUGUCGGUCAAUCACAGCUUGAGGAAAAACCAUUGCAGAAUCAUCGACAACUAAUUCAGGAGGCAAGGUAGCCAUGACAGGAUGGUCACCAACUUUUUUCUUCAACUGAGAGACAUGAAAUACAGGGUGGAUUUUGGAAGUGCAGGGAAGAACAAGGCGAUAAGCAGCAGGACCUAUUUUAGCUGCAAUGAAAAAGGGCCCAUAAUAUCUUGCAGCCAGCUUUUGAUUAGUACGAGAAGCUACUGAUAGUUGCCGAUAAGCUUGUAAUUGGAGAAAAACUUUAUCACGCACUUGGAAUUCGAUAUGCCUAUGGUGUUUAUUAUGUUGAAGGACCAUUUGUUGCUGAGCUUGUUGGAGAUUACUUUGGAGUUGGGAUAACAUGGCAUCUUGAUCUUGCAUGGCUUGAGCAAUAGCCUCAACACGAAUUUCCCCUAGUAAAAAUUUCAAAAGAGAGGGAGGGGUCUGCCAUAGACAAUUUCAAAAGGAGAAUGUUAGGUAGCACCAUGAUAACUGGGAUUAUACCAGUAUUCAGCCCACGGAAUCCAUUGAUACCAAGUUUGUGGUUGUUCAGAAGCAAAACAUUGUAAAUACUGCUCCAAACUUCUAUUGACGACUUCGGUUUGACCAUCUGUUUGAGGAUGGUAGGCAGAACUUAAUUUUAACUGAGUGCCCAUGCUUCGGAAGAUCUCAGUCCAGAAAUUACUGAUAAAAAUUGGAUCUCUAUCGCUGAGAAUAGAAGUAGGAAUACCAUGAAGGCGAACAAUCUCCCGUAUGAAUUAAUCAGGCACUCCACGAGCUGUGUAAGGGUGUUUAAGCAACAAAAAAUGGGCAUAUUUGGAUAAGCGGUCCACCACAAGAAUGGAAUCUAUGCCUUGAUACUUAGGAAGCCCAAUGAUAAAAUCAAGAGAAAUGCCCUCCCACACAUUUUUUGAAAUCGGUAGUGGUUGUAGAAAGCCAACAGGGGCAAGAGAUUCAUACUUAUUUUUUUGGCAUACCAAGCAAGAAGCCACAAAAUGCUAGAUGGAUUUCAUCAUACCCUGCCAAUAAAGGCUGGAAGCCAAGCGACGGUAAGUGAGUAGAGCACUAGAAUGACUGCCCGUUGGAGUGGAUUGAAAUUCAGAAAUCAAGCGAGAGACCCAAGGAGAUGAUGCCAGCAAUACCAGGUGGCCCUUGUAAAAUAAAUGGCCUUGAAUGAGAGUAAAUGGUUGAUGAGAACUCGAAUCAGAAGUAAGAUUCGAGAUAAUUGCUCGAAGAGAAGGGUCAUUAUGGACAGCAUCCUUAAUUUCAUCCAAAUCCAGCCAUUAAGGAUGACUAAGUGCAUGUAAUUGGAGUUUCUCUUCAUGAUGGCAUUGGGACAGUGCGUCUGCAGCGUGAUUGUUGCGCCUAGGUUUGUAGUGAAUAACAAAAGAAUAUCACAAUAACUUGGAAAUCCAAACUUGUUGGGCUGGAGUGACAAUUCGUUGUUCCAACAAAUGCUUGAGGCUACGUUGAUCCGUGUGGACAACAAAUUGACAUCCUAGGAGAUAUGGGUGCCAAUGAUGUAUUGCCAUAACCAAGGCCAUUAAUUCCUUCUCAUAAGUGGAAUUUGAGAGUCUUCGAGGAAAGGGCCUUGCUAAACUAAGCAAUUGGUUUGCUUUCUUGCAUCAAGACAGCACCCACUCCUUUGCCAGAUGCAUCACACUCAAUUACAAAGGGCAACUGGAAAUUUGGCAUAGAUAAGACAGGAGCAGAGACAAUUGCUUGUUUCAUUUGUUCACAAGCAGAAUGUGCGGAAGACGUUCACUGAAAUUGGAUGUGGGCAUCUUUAGUGGUAAGAGCUAUUAGAGGUUGAGCAAUAAGGCCAUAAUGAUUGAUGAAACGACAAUAACAGCCCGUUAAUCCGAGGAACCCCCGAACACCUUUAACUUACUUAGGAAUAGGCCACUGCAACACAGCGAAAAUCUUCGAAGGAUCCAUGGCAACACCCUUUUGAGAGAUAAUGUGCCCCAAAUAAUCAAUUGAGGAAUGCCCAAAUGAACACUUUGUUUUCAUUGGCAGUAAAAUGAUGUUGUUGUAGUGUUGUUAAAAUCAGCUCCAAAUGUUGAAGAUGCUCGUGCCAAGUUUUACUAUACCAAAAUAUCAUCAAAAAACACCAAGACAAAGUGGCAGAGAUAGGGUCUGAAAAUAUCGUUCAUUGUAGCCUGAAAGGUAGCAGGCGCAUUGGUUAAGUAGAACGGCAUUACCAAAAACUCGUAAUGGCCUGAAUGUGUGCGGAACGCUGUUUUUGGAAUAUCGGCCUCAAUGACCCGAAUUUUUUCUUAUGUCCCUUUUCAUUCCCUCAAAUACUUAUUUG
rnacentral:misc_RNA from 1 species